rnacentral:rRNA from 1 species
AUUGAACGCUGGCGGCAGGCCUAACACAUGCAAGUCGAGCGGAUGAAGGGAGCUUGCUCCUGGAUUCAGCGGCGGACGGGUGAGUAAUGCCUAGGAAUCUGCCUGGUAGGGGGGGAUAACGUCCGGAAACGGGCGCUAAUACCGCAUACGUCCUGAGGGAGAAAGGGGGGGAUCGUCGGACCUCACGCUAUCAGAUGAGCCUAGGUCGGAUUAGCUAGUUGGUGGGGUAAAGGCCUACCAAGGCGACGAUCCGUAACUGGUCUGAGAGGAUGAUCAGUCACACUGGAACUGAGACACGGUCCAGACUCCUACGGGAGGCAGCAGUGGGGAAUAUUGGACAAUGGGCGCAAGCCUGAUCCAGCCAUGCCGCGUGUGUGAAGAAGGUCUUCGGAUUGUAAAGCACUUUAAGUUGGGAGGAAGGGCAGUAAGUUAAUACCUUGCUGUUUUGACGUUACCAACAGAAUAAGCACCGGCUAACUUCGUG